UACGUAGGGUGCAAGCGUUGUCCGGAAUUAUUGGGCGUAAAGAGCUUGUAGGCGGUUUGUCGCGUCUGCUGUGAAAUUUCGGGGCUCAACCCCGAACUUGCAGUGGGUACGGGCAGACUAGAGUGUGGUAGGGGAGACUGGAAUUCCUGGUGUAGCGGUGAAAUGCGCAGGAUAUCAGGAGGAACACCGAUGGCGAAGGCAGGUCUCUGGGCCACUACUGACGCUGAGAAGCGAAAGCAUGGGGAGCGAACAGG
rnacentral:rRNA from 1 species